rnacentral:rRNA from 1 species
AACAAACGCUGGCGGCGUGCCUAAUACAUGCAAGUCGAACGGGGAAAGCUUUCGGGUGAGUACUAGUGGCGCACGGGUGAGGAACGCGUGGAUAAUCUGCCUUAGAGUGGGGGAUAACUAGUCGAAAGAUUAGCUAAUACCGCAUAAGACCACGAGAGCUGCGGCUUUUGAGGUCAAAGGGUUUUCGCUCUAAGAUGAGUCCGCGUAAGAUUAGCUAGUUGGUGAGGUAACGGCUCACCAAGGCGACGAUCUUUAACUGGUCUGAGAGGAUGAUCAGUCACACUGGAACUGAGACACGGUCCAGACUCCUACGGGAGGCAGCAGUAGGGAAUAUUGCACAAGGGAGGAAACUCUGAUGCAGCGACGCCGCGUGAGUGAUGAAGGCCUUCGGGUCGUAAAGCUCUGUCGCAGGGGAAUAACACAAUGAAGGUACCCUGUAAGAAAGGAUCGGCUAACUUCGUG